rnacentral:rRNA from 1 species
AAGAACCAAACAGGGAUUGCCUCAGUAACGGCGAGUGAAGCGGCAACAGCUCAAAUUUGAAAUCUGGCCCCCAGGGUCCGAGUUGUAAUUUGCAGAGGAUGCUUUUGGCGCGGUGCCUUCCGAGUUCCCUGGAACGGGACGCCAUAGAGGGUGAGAGCCCCGUACGGUUGGACACCAAGCCUGUGUAAAGCUCCUUCGACGAGUCGAGUAGUUUGGGAAUGCUGCUCUAAAUGGGAGGUAUAUUUCUUCUAAAGCUAAAUACCGGCCAGAGACCGAUAGCGCACAAGUAGAGUGAUCGAAAGAUGAAAAGCACUUUGAAAAGAGGGUUAAACAGCACGUGAAAUUGUUAAAAGGGAAGCGCUUGUGACCAGACUUGCGCCCGGUGAAUCACCCAGCUCUCGCGGCUGGGGCACUUUGCCGGCUCAGGCCAGCAUCAGCUCGCCGUCGGGGACAAAAGCUUCGGGAACGUAGCUCUCUUCGGGGAGUGUUAUAGCCCGCUGCACAAUACCCUUCGGCGGGCUGAGGUACGCGCUCCGCAAGGAUGCUGGCGUAAUGGUCAUCAGCGACCCGUCUUGAAACACGGACCAAGGAGUCAACCUUAUGUGCGAGUGUUCGGGUGUCAAACCCCUACGCGAAAUGAAAGUGAACGCAGGUGAGAGCUUCGGCGCAUCAUCGACCGAUCCUGAUGUUCUCGGAUGGAUUUGAGUAAGAGCAUAUAGGGUUGGACCCGAAAGAAGGUGAACUAUGCGUGUAUAGGGUGAAGCCAGAGGAAACUCUGGUGGAGGCUCGCAGCGGUUCUGACGUGCAAAUCGAUCGUCAAUAUGCGCAUGGGGGCGAAAGACUAAUCGAACUUUCUAGUAGCUGGUUUCCGCGAAGUUUCCCUCAGAUAGCCAGUGGUUGAACUCAGUUUAUGAGUAAGCGGAUGAAUUAAGGAACUCGGGGGGGCGCCUAUAUAUUGUCCC